rnacentral:rRNA from 1 species
CGCGGAGCAGCAGUGCGUGAUCCUGCACAAUGGGGGCAACCCUGAUGCCGCCACGCCGCGUGAGUGAUGAAGCCCUUAGGGUUGUAAAGUCCUUUCGUACGGGACGAUAAUGACGGUACCGGCAGAAGAAGCACCGGCUAACUUCGUGCCAGCAGCCGCGGUAAUACGUAGGGUGCGAGCGUUGCUCGGAAUUAUUGGGCGUAAAGGGCGCGUAGGCGGUUUGUUAAGUCGGGUGUGAAAUCCCCGGGCUCAACCCCGGAACUGCAUUCGAAACUGCCGAGCUAGAGUACGGGAGAGGAGAGUGGAAUUCCCGGUGUAGCGGUGAAAUGCGUAGAUAUCGGAGGAACACCAGUGGCGAAAGCGGCUCUC